rnacentral:misc_RNA from 1 species
GGAAUUUUGGACAAUGGGGGCAACCCUGAUCCAGCCAUCCCGCGUGUGCGAUGAAGGCCUUCGGGUUGUAAAGCACUUUUGGCAGGAAAGAAACGUCGCGGGUUAAUACCCCGCGAAACUGACGGUACCUGCAGAAUAAGCACCGGCUAACUACGUGCCAGCAGCCGCGGUAAUACGUAGGGUGCAAGCGUUAAUCGGAAUUACUGGGCGUAAAGCGUGCGCAGGCGGUUCGGAAAGAAAGAUGUGAAAUCCCAGGGCUUAACCUUGGAACUGCAUUUUUAACUACCGGGCUAGAGUGUGUCAGAGGGAGGUGGAAUUCCGCGUGUAGCAGUGAAAUGCGUAGAUAUGCGGAGGAACACCGAUGGCGAAGGCAGCCUCCUGGGAUAACACUGACGCUCAUGCACGAAAGCGUGGGGAGCAAACAGGA